CUUUAAUUUACCUGGNAAAGUUGAGAAGAUCCCUUUGNACUGAUGAUAGGAGUUUAGU
rnacentral:misc_RNA from 1 species